rnacentral:rRNA from 1 species
AACGGCCGUACCAUGCUGAAUAUAUCAGUUCUCGUUAGAUCACCGAAGUCAAGCAUCGUUGGGCGCGGUCAGUACUUGGGUGGGUGACCACCUGGGAACACUGCGUGCCGUU